GGGCACAUGGUGUAGUUGGUUAUCACGCCCGCUUAGCAUCUUUCGUGAUGUAAUGCGGGCGGUCCCCGGUUCAAUUCCGGGUGUGUCCA
rnacentral:tRNA from 1 species